UACGUAGGGGGCAAGCGUUGUCCGGAAUUAUUGGGCGUAAAGAGCUCGUAGGUGGUUUGUUACGUCUGCUGUGAAAACCUAGGGCUUAACCCUGGGCUUGCAGUGGAUACGGGCAGACUAGAGGUAGGUAGGGGAGAAUGGAAUUCCUGGUGUAGCGGUGAAAUGCGCAGAUAUCAGGAGGAACACCGGUGGCGAAGGCGGUUCUCUGGGCCUUACCUGACACUGAGGAGCGAAAGCGUGGGGAGCGAACAGG
rnacentral:rRNA from 1 species